UACGAAGGGGGCUAGCGUUGUUCGGAAUUACUGGGCGUAAAGCGCGCGUAGGCGGUGAUCUUUGUCAGAGGUGAAAUCCCGAGGCUCAACUUCGGAAUUGCCUUUGAAACGGGAUCGCUUGAGUCCGAGAGAGGAUGGCGGAAUUCCUAGUGUAGAGGUGAAAUUCGUAGAUAUUCGCAAGAACACCAGUGGCGAAGGCGGCUCACUGGCCCGGUACUGACGCUGAGGCACGAAAGCGUGGGGAGCAAACAGG
rnacentral:rRNA from 1 species